ACCAAAGCUAGGCAAAGAGGCAGCCGCAAAGGCCAUCAAGGAGUGGGGUCAGCCCAAAUCCAAGAUCACUCACCUAGUCUUCUGCACCACCAGCGGUGUUGACAUGCCCGGUGCUGACUACCAACUCACCAAGCUGCUAGGCCUCCGCCCAUCGGUGAAGCGCUUCAUGAUGUACCAACAGGGCUGCUUUGCUGGUGGCACCGUUCUGCGCCUUGCCAAGGACCUUGCCGAGAACAACAAGGGCGCCCGUGUCCUUGUUGUCUGCUCUGAGAUCACUGCUGUUACUUUCAGGGGACCUAGUGACACUCACUUGGACAGCCUUGUUGGGCAGGCACUUUUUGGCGAUGGGGCGGCCGCUGUUAUAGUUGGUUCCGACCCGAUCCCAGGGGUGGAGAAGCCCAUGUUCGAAUUGGUUUCAGCAGCCCAGACAAUCCUCCCCGACAGCGAUGGCGCCAUCGAUGGGCAUCUCCGGGAAGUGGGGCUGACCUUCCACUUACUUAAGGAUGUGCCCGGCCUCAUUUCCAAGAACAUUGAAAAAAGCCUGAAUGAGGCCUUCCAGCCUUUGGGCAUCAAGGACUGGAACUCCAUUUUCUGGAUUGCACACCCUGGUGGGCCUGCAAUCUUGGAUCAAGUUGAGGAAAAAUUAGCCCUAAAGCCCGAGAAGUUACGCUCCACACGACACGUCUUGAGCGAGUAUGGUAACAUGUCAAGUGCUUGCGUGUUGUUUAUUUUGGACGAGAUGAGGAGGAAGUCGGCUGAGGAAGGGCUGAAGACCACGGGUGAGGGGCUGGAAUGGGGCGUGCUCUUCGGUUUCGGACCAGGGCUCACUGUUGAGACCGUGGUGCUCCACAGUGUGUCUACUUGAGGGACUUAAAAAUAUCUACUGUUUCCACUUUACUUGCCUGAUUUGGUUUUCCCCUUCUCUUGUUGGUAUUGGACUCUAUUUCGAAGUUGUGUGUGGGUAGGCAUCAAGGGUAUGGUGUAAUAGAUUGCAUUUGAAAAAACUUGUAUACCAACUUAUGAUAAUAAUGAUGAUGAUAUGCUUUUUCUAGCCCCAUGGACUAAAAUUUCUUCUUCGAAUUACAGGCCUUUUUUUUUCUUUACAAUUAGAUCAAAGAAAAUCACUUAACUUCUCCUCGUAACUGAUAUUAGGAAAGACCCACCACUUGGCCUCAAGGUCGGUGGAAAUUUGUGAAGAGGUCAAAGUCCUCAUAACUUGUUAAAAACAUUGUCAUGCCCCAAAUUUUGGACAACCUAGAACCCAAAACGUGAACUUGGGGUAAAAGGUUUGAACUUAAGAGUUACUCCCAUCCAAUAAACCAAUUCCUCUAAAUAGUUUAAUAUUAAAUGAAUAAAUAAAAUAAUACCAAUAGUUAUAUUAUAGGGAUCAUCUAAGGUAAGUCUCAAUUACUAUGACAAAAGAUUGAUUGUAGAUUUUCAACAUUAUAAUAAUUCAACAAUAAUUUACACUAUAAAACUUAAACAUAAACUACUACCUUUGGAACAAUUAUAUAUAUAUAUAUAUAUAUAAGAAAAGAUAAUUAUGUGUGGACCCUGCAUUUUGCUCGAUGCGUUCCCACUUGAUGACGAACUCGUUUUUCAUUUAUUUGUGAAAAUUUGAUUUUUAGAAAAAGAUUUGGAGUCGUCACUUAUUUUUGUUUUAUUUUUUAAGGAAAAAACAAAAUAAGAAAAAAAAAAACCCUAAGUGUGACUCCUGAAGAAAAAACAGGUCUGUGAAAAACCGAAUUUGGGUCUGGGGGUCAGGUUACUUAUUGGUAAGGUACGGUAAAUACCGUAACACCCCUCUAAGUCCCUAAAAACGGAUCUCUACUAAAUAAGGUGAAACAAGUGUGACAAUUGAUAAGGAAAUUAAUGGAUACCAAUGAAAUGAUUAAAUAAUAAAGUGAAUCAUGCAUAAGAAUAAGCAAAGUGGGAGUGAGAUCUUACCUUAGUAGCAAGUAAUAGUGCAUUAUCAUGGAAAUAAGGUUAGCUCAAGUAUAAAAUUAUCACAUGCAUAUCAAAAAGCAAGACAAAGAUCAAACAAUAUUCAUUAAGCAUAAUAGUUGACAAUAAGAAGAGAUCAUAUGUAGGGCCCCCACCAAAGCCCAAUUGAUUUUGCAUGAAUUAAUCUCAUAAAUUCCAUUAUUUCUAGAGUUACGAAAAUUCAUUCAUGCUUAUUAAAAAUCAAGGAGAAACAGAAAAAUUAUUUUAAAAUCAAAGAAAAAUGUAUGAAGAUGCUUGCCUGAAAGAAAAAAGGUAACAAGUUUAUUAAAAAUGGGAUUUUUGGUGACCUUGAACCUUAAGGAAAUAUGAAAAGUGGUAGAAUUAAAGAAAUAUUUGAAAACUGGAGUGAAAUUAAAAUUAUUUGAAAGAAAACUACAGUUUUGAAAUUUAUGCAAAAAUUGAAAGCUCGAAAAUUAUUUGAAAACUAGCGUUUUGAAAAUUAAAUUCAAUAAUUGGAAUUUUGGGAAUUAAAUUUGAAAGAAAUUGGAAUUUUGAAAAUUAUUUGAAAAUUGGAGUCUUGGAAAUUAAAUUAUGAAUUGGAGUUUUUGGAAAUUAAAUUUGAAAGAAAUUGGAGUUUUGAAAAUUAAUUGAGAAUUGGAGUUUUGGAAAUUAAAUUAUGAAUUGGAAUUUUUGGAAAUUAAAUUUGAAAGAAAUUGGAGUUUUGAAAAUUAAUUGAGAAUUGGAGUUUUGAAAAUUAAAUUAUGAAAAUUGGAAUCUUGAAAAUUAUUUGAAGAUGGAAUUUAAAAAAUAAAUAAAAUAAUAAUAAUAAUAAUAAUAAUAAUAAUAAUAAUAAUAAUAAUAAUAAACAAAUGUGAAAAUUGAAAUUUUGGAAUUUGGGAAUCAAAAUUGGAAAUCGGAAUUUUGAAGAAUUAUUUAAAGAUAAAAUUUUAAAAAUAAAUAAUAAAAUAAUAAUGAUUAAAUAAAUAAAUGUGAAAAUUGGAAUUUUGGAAAUUGGAAAUUAAAUUAGGAAAUUGAAAUUUUGAAGAAUUAUUCAAAGAUGAAAAUUUUAAAAAUAAAUAAAUAAAUAGAAUAAUAAUAAUAAUAACGAAAAUAAUAAUGAUUAAAUAAAUAAAUGUGAAAAUUGGAAUUUUGGAAAUUGGAAAUUAAAUUAGGAAAUUGAAAUUUUGAAGAAUUAUUCAAAGAUGAAAAUUUUAAAAAUAAAUAAAUAAAUAGAAUAAUAAUAAUAAUAAUAACGAAAAUAAUAAUGAUUAAAUAAAUAAAUGUGAAAAUUGGAAUUUUGGAAAUUGGAAAUUAAAUUUGGAAAUUGGAAUUUUUAAGAAUUAUUUAAAAAUGGAAGUUUAAAAAUAAAUAAUAAAAUAAUAAUAACAAAAAUAAGAAUGAUUAAAUAAAUAAAUGUGAAAAUUGGAAUUUUGGAAAUUAAAAAUUAAAUUUGGAAAUUGGAAUUUUGAAGAAUUAUUUAAAAAUUGAAGUUUAAAAAUAAAUAAUAAAAUAAUAGUAAUGAUUAAAUAAAUAAAUGUGAAAAUUGGAAUUUUGGAAAUUGAAAAUUAAAUUUGGAAAUUGGAAUUUUGAAGAAUUAUUUAAAAAUUGAAGUUUAAAAAUAAAUGAUAAAAUAAUAAUAAUGAUUAAAUAAAUAAAUGUGAAAAUUGGAAUUUCGAAGAAUUAUUUAAAGAUGAAAAUUUAAAAAUAAACAAAUAAAUAGAAUAAUAAUCACGAAAAUAAUAAUGAUUAAAUAAAUAAAUGUGAAAAUUGGAAUUUUGGAAAUUGGAAAUUAAAUUUGGAAAUUGGAAUUUUGAAGAAUUAUUUAAAAAUGGAAGUUUAAAAAUAAAUAAUAAAAUGAUAAUAAUGAAAAUAAUAAUGAUUAAAUAAAUAAAUGUGAAAAUUGGAAUUUUGGAAAUUGGAAAUUAAAUUAGGAAAUUGGAAUUUCGAAGAAUUAUUAAAAGAUGGAAUUUUUUAAAAUAAAUAAAUAAAUAGAAUAAUAAUAACAACAAAAAUAAUAAUGAUUAAAUAAAUAAAUGUGAAAAUUGGGAAUCAAAUUUGGAAAUCGGAAUUUUGAAGAUUUAUUUAAAGAUGGAAUUUUAAAAAAUAAAUAAUAAAAUAAUAAUAACGAAAAUAAUAAUGAUUAAAUAAACAAAUGUGAAAAUUUGAAUUUUAGAAAUUGGAAAUUAAAUUAGGAAAUUGGAAUUUUGAAGAAUUAUUUAAAAAUGGAAGUUUUAAAAAUUAAAUUGGAGGAUCAAAAUUUCGAAAGAUUAUUUGAAAAUGGAAGUUAUGGGAAUUAAAUUUGAAAAUGGCAAUUUUGGGAAAUUAUUCGAAAAUGGAAGUUAUGGAAAUUAAAUUAAACAAAAGAGUUUUGAAAACUUAAAGUAAAAAAUUGGAGUUUUGGGAAUUUAUUAAAAUAUCAAGAAACAAAAAAAAUGGCAAGUGACUAUUGAGAUUAUGUGGUAGGUGACCAUGCAAAGUGGGAGCACUUAGAAUAUCACAAUGAUCAUAUUUCAAAACUCAGGGUGUCCAUAAUUUUUGGUGUCUUUGGGUCUAGAUUCUCAUUAGCAGCCACAAUUGGUCACUAGCAUAAAAACCUAGACUCUUUGAUCUCUAUCCGCUGCAAUCUACAGUGUGGACUUUGAGUUUGUUGAAGGGACAAGUUGAAGACCUGGGGCCAUUUCUGGCCUGCUCCUUGUGACUGUGGGCUGCUAAUGGGUGUAAGAUAUGCUUCCUCCUCUGACAUGGCAUCAAGGUGAGCUAGUGUUGAAGCUAACAACAGCGUCGACGAGUCAAUCUUUCUUCAAGCCGAGGAGCUCACAAAACCGCUUAGAGGUUGCACCCAUUUGUCAAUGUCGAAAAACGACUAGCAGUUUUGGGUAUAUGACUUGGGGUUACGUUUCCGGAAGCAAUCAAAAGAGAGGAACAGAGCAAAGAUGAGUAGAGUAUAAGGAAAAAGGAAAAAAAAAAAAAACAAACAGAAAAUCAAACAAAAAUUAAGUGUAUGAAGCCCCAUUUCAUAUGUCCUCCAUGAGCUUGGAGCAGGUGGGGAAACAUCAAGAAGAUUCAAAACAUGGAUAUACUUCCAUAUUGCUACGUAGUGUAUACAGAACAGAGCCACAACAACCCGAAAUCGGCCCGCGUGAAUAGCAAAGAAAUUAACAAUAGCAAAGUAUAUAAAAAGAAAUAUUUGGAAAUCAAUAAAGUUCAACAUGUAAAUCCUCAACGCCCACUCCCAGUCAAUCGUGAUAAUGUUAAAAAAAAUCAAUAGAAAAUGGAGUAAAAUAAUGAAGAGAAUCGCAAACAAGAAAAAAAAAAAAGUUGUGGCCAUACCUAAUAGAUCUCCCCUUGAACCCAGCUUCCAGCUUCCUUUCUCAGGUUGUCUUCUCCAAAAGUCUCAGUUGUCCUUCUCUUUUCAUACAGUUGUAUCCCUGUUUUAGCCGUCAUCUUCUGAAAAACUCUAGAGUAGCUCUCCAUUUCCUUCUGUCCCAUCUGGCCGCCUAAAAACAACCCACUUCACGAGUGGUUAGAAACAUAAAAAAUAAAAAAAAAAUAAAAAAAAGCCUCCCCUCCGAGAGGGUCUACGUUAUGGUUUUCAUUGCAAAGCCUCUUCAAGAACUUCAAUAGUCACUAAUCUUUUCAUCAAACUAUAUCUACAUCUAAAGAAGAAAAUGGGUGAGUAUUUCCACUAUGCUUAAUAGGGGUGUUUCUAACCAAGGGAAGGUAUAGUAAUUUACAUCAUAAAAAAGCUUAACAUGAAUAUUAAAACACCCAAUUAUCCGCCAUUAAGAUUAAUUAAAUUUUGAUGCGAUAAUCAUGUCCACAAUUUGAUAAUAACAUAAAAUAUUUAUCUAUUACUAGCAUAUCUACAACUCAAUAUAUUUAUGUCAAGUAAGGAACAUUCAAAAUUUCAAUUUAUUGGAACAUUUACCUUAUGAAAUAUUUAAACUAUAUAAAACUAUACUACUCACUAUAAUUAAAAUAUCUCUCAAAUAUGAAAUUUAUAUUCAUGAUAAUGCUUAUGCACACACAAUCUGUUGAAAAUUCCAAAUUUCUCCAUUUCCUUACUCUGUAUCAAAUAGGUGCAUACAAUCUACUUUAGGUUUCUCUGUAAACUAUACUAACGGAAACAAUGACAAUACAAAACUAUAUAGAAUAAUAAUUUAGAGAAGAUAGUAAUUAUGCCUAGAUUUGGAUGUUUCUAAAUCAAAUAUAUGUAGUGAAGAAAAAGUCUAGAAUCUUUGGAAGUCUCGUACACCUAAGAUCUUCUACUCGAUGACUCUAACCAUGAUCUUAAUACUUCAAAGGGUGAGCUUUGGGUGUGAGGAGGUUUUAGUUAUCUUUCUCUCUAGAGAUGGAAGACAAAAGAUUUAUAAACCCUAAUGCUUAUGAGGUAUUUAUAGAGUUCCCAUACUAGGCUUAAAUGGCUUGAGCUCACAUGGGCUUGGGUUACUUAAUCUAACUUAAAACAGGUCUUAAUUGAUUAAUUAACUACACAUAGCCAUCUAAUUAAUCAACUAACCCAAUCUAGAGGCCUUGUUUACUAUCCUUUGUGCAACCUUGCAUAAUUACCAAAACACCCUCAUGCACAAGAGUGAACUUAUAGGAAAUCAACCUCUCAUAAAUCAUAUCAUCAAGGUAUAUGAGCUCAAAACGGAGACCACUAGGAUCCAUACAAUUACUGGCUCCCUUAAAAUCUAAUUUUGAAGUUGAUUUAACAUCUCACUAUAAACAAUCAACUACACUCCAAUACCCUAUGUAAAUAACUAUGAGACAAAGUUUGGGUUCAUGACCUACUAUCCACUACAUGUAGACUCCCCAUGAAUUAACAUUUGUAACCUAACAAGGUAGUUCUCUAAACAAAAUGCUAUGACCAUAGUCUUCUAGAUCAGAAGUCCUUUGGAUCACUCAAGGAGACACGCUUGUUAGGAUAGAGAUUUAAAAAUAUGACAUGAUGUAAUAAAUUUGGAAUUCAUUAUUCAUUUAAUGAUAUUCCAAGUUUACUUUUAUAUACUCUUAUUCCAUACAUUAUACUUUAUGAGUAAUCUAACCUAGCAUCUCUUGCAUUGUAUACGACUUGGAUGCAUUAGAAGUUGCAUGAAAGAUCCAAGUCAUGAGUUCUUUGAAAGUAUAUGACUAGUUCAUAGGCUAGUUUAUGGAAUUAGGUAAUCCAUUUGAGGUUAUAGUGUACCAUCUCCUAAUUGGAGGGAUGAUUGGUCUUUACCAUCAAGAUGGGGUUCCCAUGGUAAGUGCACUAGUAUGUAUGGUUAUACAUUGGGCAAGACCUACGAUGAGUCAUGACAUAAGACUAUUGGGUAGUCAUGACUUUACCAAGUUAAUAUUUGUGUUGUCUCUCAACCUUGAGAGAAUUUGAGCUUGUGUAGAAAUUAACAAUGGCUUCAACCUAUAGGUGAGAUUGUAAGCUAAUAAUAAAUUCCCUAUGGAUUUGGUCACUAUUGAUGGAAGUUAGUAGCAACAAGUAUUCUCAAUAGAGGCACCAUGAUAUAUUAUGGACUUAGAGAAAGUGUGUCCCCUUAGGUGAAUCUAAGGAGUGUGAUCAUGAAAUUUGUGGGUCCUUAGUGAUUUCUUUAGUGGAAUUUGACAUAUGCUCUUAGUGAGCUAGCUAGAGCAUGCCAUUUGAUCACACAAUAUGAGGAUCUCUAUAACUUAAGGAUUGU
rnacentral:lncRNA from 1 species